GCAGAGUGGAGACUCCCUUUGGGUGGGUACAGGGUCAGGUGGAAAAGGGCUUCCCCCCAAGGUAUCCUUUGUGUUAAUUAUAUUAACUCCCUUCUUAUAAAAGUUUGGCUUCUUUCCACAAAUUCCCGUUGGAGCAAUCAAAGAUCCAGGGAUUAGAAUAUCCUGACAUUUCCUGCCUUUGUGGCCUUGGGAAAAUUUAUGUCUAACUCUGAGCUUCAUUUUUCUCAUUUGUAAAAUGAGACACACUGGUUCAUCCUGCAAACCUUCAUUCAUUUAACAGUUUGUAUUGAAUAAAUGCUGUGUGCUAGGCAUCAUCCUCAGUGCUCGGGAUGCUGCAUGUACAGGCAGGAAAACAAUGAAAAAAAUGAGAUAGCAAAAUAAAUUCCUGGCUGAGCAUUAAAGCACAAUGAUAUAAAGGGACAGAUUCAGUGAUCAGGGGUUUCUGUUUGGUGACAGCUGAGCUGAGAUCUGAAGAGUGAGAAAGAGCCCACCAUGCAAAGAACUGGGGCAGAGCUUUAUAGAGCAAGAGAACAUAUACAAAGAACUCCGGGCAGGAAUGAACCUGAUGUGGUAUUUUACAGAUUUAAAAAACACCCUGAGACUCAGAAGUUAUAAAGUUCAACCGCUAAGUGAUAGAACUGAAAUUAGAACAUAUCCCUGGCUGAUAGCAAAUACUGUGCUCAAAUUUUUGCUGCAUGGUCUUUGUUAUCUCCUGGACUGAAGCAAGUUAGAAGCACUGUUCUAGGUCCUCAGCAGUGACAGCCAGUAGUCGCCAGUGACAUUGGAUAAGCAGCUCGAUUGUGUUCAACACAUUCCUGCCAAUCUCUGCUGAAUGUGAAGCACCGAGCUAAGUUGUCCAGGUGGUGCAUCCCAACCCUGGCUUGAAUGGAGCCUAGUGAAGGGCAAGUUCAUCCACCUGAGGCGGCAGAAGGCUUUUUGGAGGAGGUGACAACUGCCAGCCCUUGAAGUAUAAACAGGAAUUUGGCAUGUGGAGGUAAAGGGCAUUCUGAAACAGAGUCGGGAAAAAAGUCCAGAAAAGUGGCUCAGAGAGUAGCCAGGAGGCUAAGUUAUUUCUGGAUUCUGAAUUUACCCAGCAUCUUUGAGACUUUGCCACAUUUACACAUCAUCUCAACCACCAUCUAUCUAACAUCUAUCUAUAAAUGGACUUUUAAAAAAACCUAAGCGUAUUUUUUAAGGCCAACCUUAUAAUUACAAAUGGUGAACUACCAUCAUUCUCCACAAAUAGAUAAUAAAUAGCUAUUUUAAAAAUAAUUUUAGGUUUUACUUAGAUACUGUUGUCUGAAGAAAGCUUGAGCCCUGAUUUCUCUGUUAAAGGAGAUAAAAAAAUGUUGGAACCCA